GACGAACGCUGGCGGCGUGCUUAACACAUGCAAGUCGAACGGAAAGGCCCUGCUUUUGUGGGGUGCUCGAGUGGCGAACGGGUGAGUAACACGUGAGUAACCUGCCCUUGACUUUGGGAUAACUUCAGGAAACUGGGGCUAAUACCGGAUAGGAGCUCCUGCUGCAUGGUGGGGGUUGGAAAGUUUCGGCGGUUGGGGAUGGACUCGCGGCUUAUCAGCUUGUUGGUGGGGUAGUGGCUUACCAAGGCUUUGACGGGUAGCCGGCCUGAGAGGGUGACCGGCCACAUUGGGACUGAGAUACGGCCCAGACUCCUACGGGAGGCAGCAGUGGGGAAUAUUGCACAAUGGGCGGAAGCCUGAUGCAGCAACGCCGCGGGCGGGAUGACGGCCUUCGGGCUGUAAACCGCUUUCGCCUGUGACGAAGCGUGAGUGACGGUAAUGGGUAAAGAAGCACCGGCUAACUACGUGC
rnacentral:rRNA from 1 species